CCGCAACGAGCGCAACCCCUACUUCUAGUUGCCACCGGGUAAAGCCGAGCACUCUAGAGGAACUGCCUACGCAAGUAGCGAGGAAGGCGGGGAUGACGUCAAGUCCGCAUGGCCCUUACNNCUAGGGCUACACACGUGCUACAAUGGGCGUUACAACGGGUUGCUAAGNNCGAGGCGGAGCUAAUCCCUAAAAGGCGNCCUCAGUUCGGAUUGGAGUCUGCAACUCGACUCCAUGAAGCCGGAAUUGCUAGUAAUCGCGGAUCAGSSCGCCGCGGUGAAUACGUUCCCGGGCCUUG
rnacentral:rRNA from 1 species